UGAAUUGCAUGGCCAAGUAUCCCUGACAGCACGGUAUAAUAGUUUAUGUCGGGAAGCAAUCAAAUAUGCAGAAGAUGGGGCAAUAGCUACAGAGACUUAUAACAUUGCAAUGGGUGCUCUUAAGGAAGGUGGGAAGAAGGUGUCUGUUGUAAAGAAAAAUGUCGCAAAAUUUGCACCUCCUGGAUCACAGGCUAGUACUGCAGCUUAUGAUGACAAUAGCAGCUCAACUUUAGGUCCAGAUACAGCCCCUUUGCUAUGGCCACAGCAAGACGAAAUUACACGGCGUUUCAAUCUUAAUGACACUGGUGCCCCACCUCAAUCUGUCUCAGAUUUGAAUCUGCCACAUAUGGCUCCUGUUUCUCUCCAUCGGGAUGAUAGUCAUCCAGAUAACAUGGUACAACAAGUAAUUCGG
rnacentral:lncRNA from 1 species